GUGCUCGCUUUGGCAAUACACAUACGAAAAUUGGAAUAACAGAGAUUAGCAUAGCCCCCACACAAGGAUGACACGCAAAUUUAUAAAGCAUUCCAUAUUAAA